rnacentral:rRNA from 1 species
AUGAACGCUGGCGGCGUGCUUAACACCUGCCCGUCGAACGGAAAGGCCCAAGCUUGCUUGGGUACUCGAGUGGCGAACGGGUGGGUAACACGUGGGUGAUCUGCCCUGCACUUCGGGAUAAGCCUGGGAAACUGGGUCUAAUACCGGAUAGGACGAUGGUUUGGAUGCCAUUGUGGAAAGUUUUUUCGGUGUGGGAUGAGCUCGCGGCCUAUCAGCUUGUUGGUGGGGUAAUGGCCUACCAAGGCGUCGACGGGUAGCCGGCCUGAGAGGGUGUACGGCCACAUUGGGACUGAGAUACGGCCCAGACUCCUACGGGAGGCAGCAGUGGGGAAUAUUGCACAAUGGGCGCAAGCCUGAUGCAGCGACGCCGCGUGGGGGAUGACGGCCUUCGGGUUGUAAACUCCUUUCGCUAGGGACGAAGCGUUUUUGUGACGGUACCUGGAGAAGAAGCACCGGCUAACUACGUG